rnacentral:rRNA from 1 species
UUCCUACGGGGCGCAGCAGUGAGGAAUAUUGGUCAAUGGACGGAAGUCUGAACCAGCCAUGCCGCGUGCAGGAAGACGGCUCUAUGAGUUGUAAACUGCUUUUGUACAAGGGUAAACCUGAAUACGUGUAUUCAGCUGAAAGUACUGUACGAAUAAGGAUCGGCUAACUCCGUGCCAGCAGCCGCGGUAAUACGGAGGAUCCAAGCGUUAUCCGGAUUUAUUGGGUUUAAAGGGUGCGCAGGCGGCACGGCAAGCCGGCGGUCAAAUCGCGGGGCUCAACCCCGCCCAGCCGUCGGAACUGCCGG